AGAAAAGACUUAAAUUUAUAUAUUAAAAUAUCUGGUCAACUAUUUUGGGACUAGGUUAUAUUUAUAUCAAUCAAAAUAUGUUUAGAUUUAGUUAACUGCCGCAAACAUCUAUAUGUAGACGCGGUUUAUCUUUCAAUUUUGAGCUGCAUCAUUUUGUAAAAAUCUUCAAAAUAGAUGUUCUAAAACAGUUCCAUAAAAAAACCCAAAAACAAUUCAACGGAAAAAUUGACCUGAAAAAGCAUCCAGGAAAUUACGGAAGAACCUUUGCCGUGUGAAUGAAAUUUUCCAA